UACGUAGGUGGCAAGCGUUGUCCGGAAUUAUUGGGCGUAAAGAGCUCGUAGGCGGCUUGUCGCGUCGAAUGUGAAAUCUCAGGGCUCAACUCUGACAUUGCAUUCGAUACGGGCAGGCUCGAGUUCGGUAGGGGAGACUGGAAUUCCUGGUGUAGCGGUGAAAUGCGCAGAUAUCAGGAGGAACACCGGUGGCGAAGGCGGGUCUCUGGGCCGAUACUGACGCUGAGGAGCGAAAGCGUGGGGAGCGAACAGG
rnacentral:rRNA from 1 species